rnacentral:rRNA from 1 species
UGGGGAAUUUUGGACAAUGGGCGAAAGCCUGAUCCAGCAAUGCCGCGUGUGUGAAGAAGGCCUUCGGGUUGUAAAGCACUUUUGUCCGGAAAGAAAUCCUUGGCUCUAAUACAGUCGGGGGAUGACGGUACCGGAAGAAUAAGCACCGGCUAACUACGUGCCAGCAGCCGCGGUAAUACGUAGGGUGCAAGCGUUAAUCGGAAUUACUGGGCGUAAAGCGUGCGCAGGCGGUUUGCUAAGACCGAUGUGAAAUCCCCGGGCUCAACCUGGGAACUGCAUUGGUGACUGGCAGGCUAGAGUAUGGCAGAGGGGGGUAGAAUUCCACGUGUAGCAGUGAAAUGCGUAGAGAUGUGGAGGAAUACCGAUGGCGAAGGCAGCCCCCCUGGGCCAAAUACUGACGCUCAUGCACGAAAGCGUGGGGAGCAAACAGGAUUAGAUACCCUGGUAGUCCACGCCCUAAACGAUGUCAACUAGUUGUUGGGGAUUCAUUUCCUUAGUAACGUAGCUAACGCGUGAAGUUGACCGCCUGGGGAGUACGGUCGCAAGAUU